UACGAAGGGUGCAAGCGUUACUCGGAAUUACUGGGCGUAAAGCGUGCGUAGGUGGUUCGUUAAGUCUGUCGUGAAAGCCCCGGGCUCAACCUGGGAAUGGCGAUGGAUACUGGCGGGCUAGAGUGCGGAAGAGGCGAGUGGAAUUCCUGGUGUAGCGGUGAAAUGCGCAGAUAUCAGGAGGAACACCGGUGGCGAAGGCGGAUCUCUGGGCCAUUACUGACGCUGAGGAGCGAAAGCGUGGGGAGCGAACAGG
rnacentral:rRNA from 1 species